CCGCCAGACUCCUACGGGAGGCAGCAGUGGGGAAUAUUGCACAAUGGGGGAAACCCUGAUGCAGCGACGCCGCGUGAAGGAAGAAGUAUUUCGGUAUGUAAACUUCUAUCAGCAGGGAAGAAAAUGACGGUACCUGACUAAGAAGCCCCGGCUAACUACGUGCCAGCAGCCGCGGUAAUACGUAGGGGGCAAGCGUUAUCCGGAUUUACUGGGUGUAAAGGGAGCGUAGGCGGUGCAGCAAGUCAGAAGUGAAAGCCCGGGGCUCAACUCCGGGACUGCUUUUGAAACUGUUGAACUAGAUUGCAGGAGAGGUAAGUGGAAUUCCUAGUGUAGCGGUGAAAUGCAUAGAUAUCGCGCAGAACUCCGAUUGCGAAGGCAGCAUGCCGGCUCCACACUGACGCUGAGGCACGAAAGCGUGGGUAUCGAACAGGAUUAGAUACCCGCGUAGG
rnacentral:rRNA from 1 species